UGCACCUUCUCCUGCGUCAGCACGAACUCCCCGUACAUGGGGUCCAGCGUGAACACGUACACACCCGCGCCCAGGGUGAGCACGAAGAUCACCGAGCUCGAGUACAUGCAGUAGCCGGCGGCCAGCAGGUUGCUCCCCGGCUGGCACACGCUCACGACGCACCUCUGCUCCACCGAAUCGAGCUGCAGUAGGGUUAGAGAUGCCGCAUUCGUUAUUUUGUUAACACGUAGUAGGAUAGAACAUGGAACGAACUGCGUAUGAGCCAGGACAGGAGGAGGGGAGGCCUUGGCGGCACACUCCUCCCUGGAGGUAUUGUCGUGAUAUCCUCUCCCGUUUGGAAGUAUGGGUUGAAAAACUUUCGGUGUUGGCGGCAUCUGCGGAUGUCGCCUUUCCUUCUUAGAGGCUGCGCUGAGGAAAACUCCUCACUAGCUUGUUUCUUGUGGCGUGCAGGAAGAUAUUUUUGCGCCCCGUAUUUUGGAGGUUUGUCGGCUUUUGUUUCUUGUUGUGUUUGUAUGUUGUCGCCUCCUUCGUGAGGGUGUUUUGUUUUUAUUUGGUGUGUGGGGGUUUUAUACCGAAAACUUCUUCUCUUUCAAUACAUGCCCGGCAUUAUCUCGUCGGUUGCUUUAAAAAAAAAAAGAGGAGGGGAGCCAGGAUUGGCACGUACGGUCCCGCUGUUUUCAACGUCGGCGAGGCACUCGUCGUUGGGGGCGUAGAUGCCGAAGAUGGAGCCGGUGGAGACGGCGGCGUCGAUGUUGGAGGAGCCGUCGAGUGGGUCGAACACGACGAUGUAGUUGCCGGAGUAGCUCUCCUCCACCGCCACCGGCACGUCCUCCUCCUCCGACGCGAUCACCCCGGUGCGCCCGCUCGACUUGAGGCAGUUAGAAAACACCUGCGCGCGCGGGGGCGUCGUGCUCGUGAUGGUCAUGUUGCUCGCGUAGUUGUCAUGCUGAUGAAUUUCCUGUGAAUCGAGGGCGGGUCGCUUACCUCGUUGGAGACGACGUCGAGCUUCUUCUGGUCCUCGCCCUGCACGUUGACGGCGCCCUGGACGCCGGUGAGGUUGGAGAUGGGCGCGCGCUGCACGAGCGCCGCGAUCUGCUUGCACGCCGUGGAGAUGCUGGCCAGCACGAUGGUCAUCUCGUUGUCGAUCACCCCGGCCUGCUCCUGCUUCAGAAGCCACGUCGUGAGCGUCACGAUCUCAUAGCUGCUCUUCGUGCUGCUCGCCUCCGUCGCCGCGGGCGCCGUGUCCACGGCCGCCAUGCACCGCACGCUGGCACCCGACGCCGCGCCCCUGCUGGCGGGCCUCCUGGAUUGGCCGAGAAAGGAGAGGCGGCAUCGGAGGGAGGCCGCCUGCUGGCGGGAGAGCAGGAGCAAGUGGGAGGAGGUGGCUGCGGCGG
rnacentral:lncRNA from 1 species